rnacentral:misc_RNA from 1 species
AAAGUUUGAAGAGAAACUCUAAACAGACAAGACCUGACUGAAGAAUACAAGCUAUAACAAAUAUAGCACAAAACGGGAUAUUAGACACAGUAACAUAAGUUGUUGAUGUAUUGGCAGGAAUCAAAGAUGUAAAUAAGAACUCAUGAAUUGGUCAUUACGGAAAGCAUUCAUCAGGCUCUGCACGUACUCUAUCACAGCAUUAUGGUGAUUUUACUAGCCCCCAUGUCCAUCUGGCUCUGACCCUUGGCCAUUGAGGAGGGUUAUGGAACCUGCUAUUGGAAGGUUUAGGUUCCUCGAGGUGCCUGGACAUUCUGUCGAGCAAGCAAAGAUGUCAUCUGCCCCAGCUCCCUGUUCCGUCCUCCUCUUCUUCUUUUGGGAUUUUAAAUAGUU